rnacentral:rRNA from 1 species
UGGGCGUAAGCGCGCGUAGGCGGUUUUUUAAGUCUGAUGUGAAAGCCCACGGCUCAACCGUGGAGGGUCAUUGGAAACUGGAAAACUUGAGUGCAGAAGAGGAAAGUGGAAUUCCAUGUGUAGCGGUGAAAUGCGCAGAGAUAUGGAGGAACACCAGUGGCGAAGGCGACUUUCUGGUCUGUAACUGACGCUGAUGUGCGAAAGCGUGGGGAUCAAACAGGAUUAGAUACCC